GAUGAACGCUGGCGGCGUGCCUAAUACAUGCAAGUCGAGCGAACAGACGAGGAGCUUGCUCCUCUGACGUUAGCGGCGGACGGGUGAGUAACACGUGGAUAACCUACCUAUAAGACUGGGAUAACUUCGGGAAACCGGAGCUAAUACCGGAUAAUAUAUUUAACCGCAUGGUUCAAUAGUGAAAGACGGUUUUGCUGUCACUUAUAGAUGGAUCCGCGCCGCAUUAGCUAGUUGGUAAGGUAACGGCUUACCAAGGCAACGAUGCGUAGCCGACCUGGGAGGGUGUUCGGCCACACGGGAACGGAAACACGGUCCAGCCUCCUACGGGAGGCAGCAGUAGGGAAUCUUCCGCAAUGGGCGAAGGCCUGACGGAGCAACGCCGCGUGAGUGAUGAAGGUCUUCGGAUCGUAAACCUCUGUUAUUAGGGAAGAACAAAUGUGUAAGUAACUAUGCACGUCUUGACGGUACCUAAUCAGAAAGCCACGGCUAACUACGUG
rnacentral:rRNA from 1 species